rnacentral:SRP_RNA from 1 species
GCCGGGUGUGGUGGCGCACACCUGUAAUCCCAGCUACUUGGAAGGCUGAGGCAGGAGAAUUGCUUGAACCUGGGAGGCGGAGGUUGCAGUGAGCUGAGAUCAAAAUCGUGCCACUGCACUCCAACCUGGGCAACAGAGUGAGACUCUGUCUCAA